GCAGUGGGGGUUCAGUGGUAGAAUUCUCGCCUUUCAGGUGGGAGGCCCAGGUUCAAUUCCCAGCCGGUGCA
rnacentral:tRNA from 1 species